rnacentral:rRNA from 1 species
GACGAACGCUGGCGGCGUGCCUAAUACAUGCAAGUCGAACGCAGUGGGGACGGUUGAGUAACACGUGGGUAACCUCCCAUCAGAGGGGAUAACCCUUGGAAACAGGUGCUAAACCGCUACUGGUUGAUUGACCCGCGGUGCAUUAGCUAGUUGGUGGGGUAACGGCUCACCAAGGCCACGAUGCAUAGCCGACUCGAGAGGGUGAUCGGCCACACGGUGACUGAGACACGGCCCAGACUCCUACGGGAGGCAGCAGUAGGGAAUAUUCGGCAAUGGACGAAAGUCUGACCGAGCAACGCCGCGUGAUUGAAGAAGGUCUUCGGAGCGUAAAACUCUGUUGUUAGAGAAGCGGUAUCUAACCAGAAAGCCACGGCUAACUACGUGCCAGCAGCCGCGGUAAUAC